CCAUUGUGGGGGUAGGUAUGCAGC
rnacentral:piRNA from 1 species